CAGACCAGACUUGACAGUUGACGCAAACGUUUUACGAACGGAAAAAAAAUGAAACUGUGGUCUGUGGGAGAAAGUAGACUACGUAAAAUUUUCCCGAUUUCUUCUACCCUUUUUCCUAGAUCUGAAACAGUCAAAGUUAGGUCAGUUUCCAAGUAACAAUUACGAUUCCAUUGUCAAUUUAAUCGGUCCGUGAUCUUUGGAAAAAGAGGAAAGAUUAAAAACCCUUGAGAUGUUCUGAUUCGAGCAGGAGAAGACCCGAAAACGAGUUUGAGUUUGAUUACUGGGGGAGAAUUCAAUUGGAGAGACUUCGAAGGGGUGGGGUUUACUAUGACCGACGCGUUCUCUGUGAUUCCCGCCUCUGUGCUGCGCAAUCUCUCCGACAAGCUUUAUGAGAAGCGCAAAAAUGCCGCUCUUGAGGUUGAGGGAAUUGUGAAGCAGCUUGCAGUGGCUGGAGAUCACGACAGGAUUACGGCGGUGAUCAAUCUGUUGAUCACAGAAUUUACAUAUUCGCAGCAAGCGAAUCACCGGAAGGGAGGAUUGAUAGGCUUAGCUGCUGCAACAGUUGGGCUGACUGGUGAAGCGGCUCUACAUCUCGAGCAAAUUGUGUUGCCUGUGCUUAAUUCUUUUUCUGACCAAGAUAGCAGAGUUCGGUAUUACGCUUGCGAAGCAUUGUAUAAUAUUGCAAAGGUUGUAAGAGAGGAUUCCAUCAUAUUCUUUAAUCAGAUUUUUGAUGCAUUGUGUAAGCUCUCGGCAGACUCAGAUGCAAAUGUACAGAGUGCUGCUCAUCUUUUGGAUCGGCUUGUGAAGGACAUUGUUACUGUAAGUGAUCAAUUCAGCAUUGAAGAAUUUAUACAGUUGUUGAGGGAAAGAAUGAACGUCCUAAAUCCCUAUGUCCGGCAGUUUUUAGUAGGAUGGAUCACUGUAUUGGACAGUGUUCCAGAGUUUGACAUGCUGGGUUUCCUUCCUGAUUUUCUGGAUGGUCUGUUUAAUAUGUUAAGUGAUUCUAGCCAUGAAAUAAGGCAACAAGCUGAUUCAGCUCUUUCGGAAUUUCUACAAGAGAUCAAGAACUCCCCAUCUGUAGAUUACGGUCGCAUGGCUGAAAUACUGGUGCAGAGGGCAGCUUCACAAGAUGAAUUUACUCGGUUAACAGCUAUUACAUGGAUAAACGAGUUUGUAAAACUUGGUGGGGACCAGCUUGUUCUUUAUUAUGCUAAUAUUCUUGGCGCCAUUUUGCCCUGCAUAUCUGAUAAAGAGGAGAAAAUUAGAGUGGUUGCUCGUGAAACCAAUGAAAAGCUUCGUUCAAUCAAGGCUGAUCCAGCUGAAGGAUUCGAAGUAGGAGCAAUCCUCACUAUUGCAAGGAGGCAAUUGUCUAGUGAAUGGGAGGCUACUCGAAUUGAAGCAUUGCACUGGAUUUCAACUCUUUUAGAGAGACAUCGCAUGCAGGUCUUAAGCUCCCUUGGUGACAUAUUUGACGCCCUUCUGAAAGCACUAUCAGAUCCUUCUGAUGAGUGGGUAAACCCCUUUUCCUACGCAGGUGUAAGCUAUGGAUGUCCAUUUGAAAAAGCACUUGCUGAAAAGGUUGUGCUCCUUGUUCUUGAGGUUCAUGCCUGCAUAGCAGAAGAUCCUCCACACUUCCGCCAACUUCUUGUUUUCCUUGUUCAUAAUUUCCGGAUAGAUAUUUCUCUUCUGGCGAAGCGUGGUGCUCUAAUAAUCUGCCGGCUUUGUGUACUUUUAGAUCCUGAAAGGGUCUACCGUGAACUUUCAACAAUACUAGAAGGAGAAUCUGACCUGCAUUUUGCAUCUAUUUUGGUUCAGACUUUGAAUUUAAUUUUACUUGCAUCGUCUGAAUUGUCUGAGGUCCGGGAUCUUUUGAAAAAUUCACUGGUGAAUCUGGCUGGGAAGGACUUGUUUGUUUCUUUGUAUGCUUCAUGGUGUCAUUCGCCCAUGGCAAUUAUAAGUCUUUGCUUAUUAGCACAGGUUUUCGUUGCACUUAGUGAUCAUGUUUAUUGUGCUUGGCAGACGUACCAGCAUGCAAGUGCUGUGAUUCAGUCUCUGGUGGAGGAAGAUAUCAAUGUCAAAUUUUUGGUCCAGCUGGAUAAAUUGAUUCGCUUGCUGGAAACUCCAAUCUUUGCUUAUCUUAGAUUGCAGCUUCUUGAACCUGGAAGAUAUAUAUGGUUGUUAAAAGCCUUGUAUGGCCUUUUGAUGUUGCUUCCCCAGCAAAGUGCCGCAUUUAAGAUACUGCAAACCCGUUUAAAAACUGUGCCUUCAUAUUCCUUCAAUGGUGAGCAAGUUAGGCAAACGUCAUCAGGGAAUCCCUAUCAAAUUAUACAUCACGUGCCAAGCGGUUCGCAAAUCUCUGAGGAUGAAGAUGGGAUCCAGGAUGGUGCAAAUUCACAUAAUGGAAUUAACUUUGCUUCAAGGCUACAACAGUUUGAGCAAAUGCAGCGGCAGCAUCGUAUGCACACAAAAGUGCAGGCACUAUCACGCAACAGUUCUACCACUUCAUCAUCAAAGGAGGUGCAAGGACCUGAAGAACCUCCAGACCCUGCUUCAUGGGACAUGAGUGGACCUCCGUCAAGAUCAAGGAGAGGGUCAGGUCAAUUACCAUUAUGAUUUUGUUGCUGCUUCCUGCCUCUAAUCAAGGUUGAUUGUACACUCUUCUCGGCAUGUGCCAUGGCAAAGAUCUGCACCUUCGGUUGCAAUUCCCAGGGUCUAAGAAAGAGAAUUAUUCGUAUAUGUUAUUGUACCAGAAACGCUGAAAGAGUACACUGACCAUGAGAAAGACUUGCUCCCGCUCGCCCUUCUGAUGCGUCUCUGGGAGUCACCGCGGAAAAUCCCAAAAUGUUGUCGGAAAACAAAAUAGCACAUACUUACAAGAGUCCCAACAAGAAUCGGUGCUCCCGUAAGGGUUAUAGUAAUAGCCAUCCAGGUGCUUCCCUUUCCAACAACUACGAAAGCUAUAGACAGAAACGCCCCACAAGUACAUGCGCAGGCAGCCCACAUUAGCUUGUUAACAACUGAUACAACCCGCUUCUGAGCCCUAGUGUCCCAGGCCACCAAAGUAAUCUGAACCACAACAACUGCGAGAGAAAU